rnacentral:rRNA from 1 species
UACGUAGGGUGCGAGCGUUAAUCGGAAUUACUGGGCGUAAAGGGCUCGUAGGCGGCCAACUAAGUCGGACGUGAAAAUCCCCAGGCUCAACCUGGGAACUGCGUCCGAUACUGGAUGGCUUGAAUUCGGGAGAGGGAUGCAGAAUUCCAGGUGUAGCGGUGAAAUGCGUAGAUAUCUGGAGGAACACCGGUGGCGAAGGCGGCAUCCUGGACCGAUACUGACGCUGAGGAGCGAAAGCCAGGGGAGCAAACGGG